UACGGGGGGGCAAGGCGUUAGUUCGGUAAUUACUGGGCGUAAAGGGCGCGAGUAGGCGGUCAGAUAAGUCAGCUGUGAAAACCUCGGGCUUAACCCGAGGCCUGCAUGUUGAAACUGUUGGCUGGAGUGUGGGAGAGGAGAGUGGAAUUCCGGAUGUAGCGGUGAAAUGCGAUAGAUAUUGGGAGGAACACCGGUGGCGAAGGCGAGCUCGCUGGGACGGUAGUGACGCUGAGACGCGAAAGCGUGGGGAGCAACAGGG
rnacentral:rRNA from 1 species